rnacentral:rRNA from 1 species
AGCGAACGCUGGCGGCAGGCUUAACACAUGCAAGUCGAGCGGGCCCUUCGGGGUCAGCGGCAGACGGGUGAGUAACACGUGGGAACGUACCCUUUGGUUCGGAAUAACGCUGGGAAACUAGCGCUAAUACCGGAUACGCCCUUUUGGGGAAAGGCUUGCUGCCGAAGGAUCGGCCCGCGUCUGAUUAGCUAGUUGGUGGGGUAAUGGCCUACCAAGGCGACGAUCAGUAGCUGGUCUGAGAGGAUGAUCAGCCACACUGGGACUGAGACACGGCCCAGACUCCUACGGGAGGCAGCAGUGGGGAAUAUUGGACAAUGGGCGCAAGCAUGAUCCAGCCAUGCCGCGUGAGUGAUGAAGGCCUUAGGGUUGUAAAGCUCUUUUGUCCGGGACGAUAGUGACGGUACCGGAAGAAUAAGCCCCGGCUAACUUCGUG